GAGUCCUUUGCCCCACACACAUCUAACCAGCUCACGUGGUUCAUCGAUUGGUUCCAACAUGGCAACGAUCGAAUCCAGAGUUGUCAUCUUCCUCAUUGUUCUUUCUUUUUGUUGUAGCUAUCAGCUAUGUGAAUCUUCAUCUGAUCAUUUGAAGGCUAAUAGCAACCGCCAGGUCAGUGACAAAGCGAGUAAUUUUGCUUAUUUAGGGUUUUCAGAGUUAUAAUACACUAUAAUAUGUAUCUAAAAAUAAUAAUUAAAUUUUGAUGUGUGUAUAUAUAUAUAUAUAAUUUUUCGAAACUGACUGACCACCCAUCACUCUAUGUGCAGGUUAUGGAGUUUUCUCCAUGGAAUAACAAGGCAAUUAUUAGUCCAAGUAGAAGAAUGUUGAAGCAAUGUUGCCCUGGGUGCCCUAUGGAAUGUUGCAUUGCUUGCAUGUGUACUUGUUGAAAGUUGCUUUCUACUAAGCUUUAUAUCCAGUUAUUAACGGAAACAGCCUCUGUACCUCACCUCUGAGGUAGCGGUAUGGACUAUGUACAUUUUAUCAGUGGCGGAUCUACCCUUUGCCGAGAGGGUUCAUCCGAACCCUCUUUGGCGAAAAAUUAUGUUAUAUAUGCAUGGUUAAAAUUAUUUUUUAUGUAUAAAUAUUAGAUGUUGAACCCCCUUCGAUUAGUUCGUAUGUUCACUUAUGAACCCCUUCAUAAAUAUACUGGUUCUGCCACUGCAUUUUAGCUCUCCAGACUCCACUCAUGCUAGUGUUGAAUAAGGUUUCAUUUUAACGAAAAUCAUCUUUCCUUUGUUUGUUCUCUCUAUAUAUAAUCACAAAAUGAGUGUUAUACAA
rnacentral:lncRNA from 1 species